ACAUGCAGUCGAACGAUGAACCACUUCGGUGGGGAUUAGUGGCGAACGGGUGAGUAACACGUGGGCAAUCUGCCCUGCACUCUGGGACAAGCCCUGGAAACGGGGUCUAAUACCGGAUACUGACCCUCACGGGCAUCUGUGAGGGUCGAAAGCUCCGGCGGUGCAGGAUGAGCCCGCGGCCUAUCAGCUUGUUGGUGAGGUAAUGGCUCACCAAGGCGACGACGGGUAGCCGGCCUGAGAGGGCGACCGGCCACACUGGGACUGAGACACGGCCCAGACUCCUACGGGAGGCAGCAGUGGGGAAUAUUGCACAAUGGGCGGAAGCCUGAUGCAGCGACGCCGCGUGAGGGAUGACGGCCUUCGGGUUGUAAACCUCUUUCAGCAGGGAAGAAGCGAAAGUGACGGUACCUGCAGAAGAAGCGCCGGCUAACUACGUGCCAGCAGCCGCGGUAAUACGUAGGGCGCGAGCGUUGUCCGGAAUUAUUGGGCGUAAAGAGCUCGUAGGCGGCUUGUCACGUCGGUUGUGAAAGCCCGGGGCUUAACCCCGGGUCUGCAGUCGAUACGGGCAGGCUAGAGUUCGGUAGGGGAGAUCGGAAUUCCUGGUGUAGCGGUGAAAUGCGCAGAUAUCACGAGGGACACCGGUGGCGAAGGCG
rnacentral:rRNA from 2 species